UGAACGCUGGCGGCAGGCCUAACACAUGCAAGUCGAACGGUAACAGGAAGCAGCUUGCUGCUUCGCUGACGAGUGGCGGACGGGUGAGUAAUGUCUGGGAAGCUGCCUGAUGGAGGGGGAUAACUACUGGAAACGGUAGCUAAUACCGCAUAAUGUCGCAAGACCAAAGAGGGGGACCUUCGGGCCUCUUGCCAUCGGAUGUGCCCAGAUGGGAUUAGCUUGUUGGUGGGGUAACGGCUCACCAAGGCGACGAUCCCUAGCUGGUCUGAGAGGAUGACCAGCCACACUGGGACUGAGACACGGUCCAGACUCCUACGGGAGGCAGCAGUGGGGAAUAUUGCACAAUGGGCGCAAGCCUGAUGCAGCCAUGCCGCGUGUAUGAAGAAGGCCUUCGGGUUGUAAAGUACUUUCAGCGGGGAGGAAGGGAGUAAAGUUAAUACCUUUGCUCAUUGACGUUACCCGCAGAAGAAGCACCGGCUAACUCCGUG
rnacentral:rRNA from 1 species